rnacentral:tRNA from 1 species
GCCUUCGUGGUGUAGUGGUCAGCACGUUCGAGCUUAAAGAGAGGUCCGUGGUUCGAUUCCCGGUGAAGGCG